GGCGACGUUAGCCGAGUGGUCAAAGGCGCACGCCCUGUAGAGCACUCGAACUAACUCACCGGCCAGGCAUGGGUUCGAAACCCAAACUGGUCU
rnacentral:tRNA from 1 species